rnacentral:lncRNA from 1 species
UGCUUGCUAGUAAGUUUGAUAUGAAUGACUUAGGAGUUGCCGAUUUAAUUCUGGGAAUUAAAAUCCAUAAGACUCCUCAAGGUCUAGCAUUGUCUCAAUCUCAUUAUAUUGAAAAAGUACUUCUCCUCGGUGUCUAGCUUUGUCUCAAUCACAUAAUGUGAAAAUGGUACUUGAAAAAUUCAAACGCUUGGAAUUUAGAAGUGCAAGAACUCCAAUUGAUUUAAACCAUCAACUUAUAAAGAAUAGAAGUGAAAGUAUGUCUCAAUUGGAGUAUGCUCGGGUGUUGGGAAGCUUAAUGUAAAUUAUGAACUGUACACGACCUGAUAUAGCUUGCGAAAUAAGUAAACUUAGUCGAUUCACAAGUAAUCCCAACAAACAUCGCUGGGUGGAAAUGAAACGAGUUCUGGUGUAUUUGAAGUAUACCCAAUACUACGCUUUGCACUACAAUAAAUACCCUACGGUUAUCGAAGGAUAUAGUGAUGCAAAUUGGAUAACCUACUCAACAUAAACAAAUUCCACAAGUGAAUUUGUUUUUGCUGUUGGUGGAGGAGCAGCAUCUUGGAAGUCUUCCAAACAUACGUGUAUCGCUCGCUCUACAAUGGAAUCUAAGUUUAUAUGUUUGGAUAAAGCCGGUGAAGAAGCUGAAUGGCUUCGAAAUUUCUUAGAAGACAUUCCAUUCUGGCCAAAACCUUUGGAUCCUAUUUGCAUACGUUCUGACAGGCUGCAAUAGGACGGGCACGGAGCGUUAUGUAUAACGGAAAGUCUCGUCAUAUACGACAAAGACAUAACAUCGUUAGACAACUACUUUCUAGUGGAAUUAUCUCUAUUUAUUAUGUAAGAUCAAAGGAUAUUGUUGCGGAUCCGUUUACAAAAGGCUUAACUAGAUAGUGGAAUUAUCACUAUUGAUUAUGUAAGAUCAAAGGAUAAUAUGGCAGAUCCGCUUACAAAAGGCUUAACUAGAGAGGGAGUUGAGAAAUCAUCUAAGGGAAUAGGACUAUGGCCGAGGACAAGUCAACAUGGCACUAACUCUACCUCGAAUUUUGGAUGUUCCAAGAUCUAGGUUCAAGGAGCUCAAACAAAGUUGUGAUUGACCGGUUCAACAUUGUCAAAUAAAAUCUUUGGUCCAUUCUCGUGAUGAAGACAAUGAUCAGUAACAAGGAUAGAACUUUACACGUUCUUUAAUGAUUAUCUAAGUUUGAUGAGGUAUUUAUCAAAUAGUGUCAGUCUAAAGGAUUAAACGUUUAGGAGUCACCUAUGUAAGUGUGAAGUGGAAGCCGCUUCAAUGAGAAUUAUGUAUGGCCAAUUCUCUACGCACUUAUGAAACCAGACAAUGUUCAUGGCUAAAAUGAACACAACAAUGAGAACCAAAAGACUGUUAAGGGUUGAUUGUGUGACAUAUGGUUGUCUAGGUAUACACUAAAGUUCGACAAUUCAAAGAUAUCAAAUCUACCGAUUGAUCGAGUAUAUCCGACAUAUGUUCACUACGAAAAGUUCAAAGGGAAACCUACUUAAAGAUAUCAAAUCUACCAAUUGACCGAGUAUAUCCGACAUAUGUUCACUACGGAAAGUUCAA